GUGACAGGAUGAUCGAUGUUACUGUGAAGAACUUUUGGUGCUUAUUUCUGGCCGUUUGGAAGGAGCUAAUCACUGACACUGAUCAACUCAGAAAAGAUAGUAAUUGCUCCCACCGUUUCACAAUUUACAACAGCUAUUGUUCCAUUUUCUAUUAACUAUUUCUCCAAAGCGCACAGUAGGCUACAUACCGGGGUAUGUGACCUGGUUUUACUCCUACCAUCCACGUUACUAUUCUCAAGCUUGACCUAGGUGAGAACGCACCCUCUCACAGCCAUGACGCAACUGAAAUUCGGCAAAAAAACAUCUUGUAAGCUGGUCCUGAAUCCAAAGUCAAAGCCAGAGUGGUAGAGAAGCAUCAGGGUCCUCUCGAGAGCAAAAGAAAAUGCUGCAGCCCAGGGGCUAACAGAUAGAGAGGGACACCCCUGCUCUGAUGGAGCUUGGCAGAUCGUCACUAUUGGGGGACCACAGAUGGAAAAAGUCUGGAUUGCCGUGGGAUUGGAGGCAGCAGUGCCAGACGUCGUUCCUUGGAGGAGUGCAGCGAUCGCGGGAUAUGGAACCUGCACAUACGAAAAGAAAGCCCAUGGUGGUCAGUCUAGGACG